AAUGAACGCUGGCGGCAUGCCUAACACAUGCAAGUCGAACGACACCACCGGGUCUAGUUGCGCAUGCGUGUGUCACGCGUCGGACGCUUCCCUUAUGUAUCGAAUACCUCUCCUACUGGGGUGCUAACGUCGGAACAUGUCUUCUAACAAAAGAUAGAUCGCCCUUGUUUGGGCACGCGUUCGAUUAGCUUUUUGGUAUGGUAAUAGCCUAUCACGGCGAAGCUCCUUAGCUGGUUAGAGAGGAUGCGCAGCCACACUGAGACUGAGACACGGCCCAGAAUCCUACGGGAGGGAGCAGUGGGGAAUAGUGGAAAAUGGGCGAAAGCCUGAUCGAGCAAGGCCGGGUGAGUGAUGAAGGCCGUAGAGUUGUAAAGCUCUUUUACCCGGGAUGAUAAUGACAGUACCGGGAGAAUAAGCACCGGCUAACUCCGUG
rnacentral:rRNA from 1 species